rnacentral:tRNA from 1 species
CCCAGGGUAGUGCAAAGGGUUAACACACUCAGCUGCUAACUGAAAGGUUGUAGGUUUGAAUCCACCCAAAGGA